UACGUAGGGGGCAAGCGUUGUCCGGAAUCAUUGGGCGUAAAGAGCGUGUAGGCGGCUCGGUAAGUCCGUUCUGAAAGUCCAGGGCUCAACCCUGGGAUGCGGAUGGAUACUGCCGGGCUCGAGUCCGGAAGAGGCGAGUGGAAUUCCCGGUGUAGCGGUGAAAUGCGCAGAUAUCGGGAGGAACACCAAUGGCGAAGGCAGCUCGCUGGGACGUGACUGACGCUGAGACGCGAAAGCGUGGGGAGCAACAGGG
rnacentral:rRNA from 1 species